rnacentral:pre_miRNA from 1 species
GGUUGUCACUGGAGCAGCAAGCGAGAAUCAGCUGUCUGUGGUCUUCUCGCCUGCUGCUCCAGUGCCAAGC